CCGAGCUCUUCAACUUCCAUUCAUUUAGAAAAGAAAGAAAAUCAGUGUUGGCGUUUGAACGUUUUUCAACAAAUGGUCUGCAUGCCCUUCCCAGGGAAGACUCAUGACAGCAGAAGGGGAGGUGCAGUUCUCAGGCCUGAAUGCUUCAGUUUGUUCCAGAGAUGGUCCCUCUAUCAGAGCAGUCAGCUCUCUGACGCCUGUUUCUCUCAACGAUCCAUGGUGGAAUUGGAGAACCUUUGGAAGACUGGAUAAUCUCAUGCAGGGGAAGGGCCGUGGCUGCUUGGAAAAGAGUGAUUUUUACAUC